rnacentral:sRNA from 1 species
AGAUGAAUUGUUAAACCCACAAGACAGCAUGGUAGUAAACCUGGAGCGGCAAACACAUAAGCGUCUCCUUCGACAGUGCUUCCAUUAGUGAGUAAGAAACUCUUAACCGUGCCAUCGUCAUUGAGCUCAAUUUUCUUUAUCCUAGAAUUAAGUUGCACUUCCCCACCUAGUGAUCGAAUAUGAUCCACUACUGGCAUACAAAGCCUUUCCGGAGGAUUACCAUCCAAGAAUGCCA